rnacentral:rRNA from 1 species
CAGUAGCCGCGGUAAUACGUAGGUGGCAAGCGUUGUCCGGAAUUAUUGGGCGUAAAGGGCUCGCAGGCGGCUUCUUAAGUCUGAUGUGAAAGCCCCCGGCUCAACCGGGGAGGGUCAUUGGAAACUGGGAAACUUGAGUGCAGAAGAGGAGAGUGGAAUUCCACGUGUAGCGGUGAAAUGCGUAGAGAUGUGGAGGAACACCAGUGGCGAAGGCGACUCUCUGGUCUGUAACUGACGCUGAGGAGCGAAAGCGUGGGGAGCGAACAGGAUUAGAUACCCCUGUAGUCCCUGUCUCUUAUAA